rnacentral:rRNA from 1 species
CGGUUAAGCGAAGAAGGGCACAGGGCGGAUGCCUUGGCGCCAGGAGCCGAUGAAAGACGCGACAAGCUGCGAAAAGCUGCGGGGAGGAGCAAAUGUCCAGCGAUCCGCAGGUGUCUGAAUGGGGAGACCCGGCGGGGGAAGACCCCGCCACCCCAUGCCGAACACAUAGGCAUGGAGGAGGGAACCCGGCGAACUGAAACAUCUAAGUAGCCGGAGGAAGAGAAAACAAAAGCUGUCCGCAAGGACGGCAUGUGAUUCCGGGAGUAGCGGCGAGCGGAACCGGAAGAGCCCAAACCAGCGCGCGUGCGCGCUGGGGUUCGGACUGCACAAGCGACUGCGGAGGGCAGCGGAACGGCCCUGGGAAGGCCGGCCGGAGAGGGUGAGAGCCCCGUAGGCGAAGCCCGAGGCAGCGCGGCAGGAUCCAGAGUACCAUGGGGCACGUGGAACCCUGUGGGAAGGAGCGGGGACCACCCCGCAAGGCUAAAUACUACCUGGCGACCGAUAGAGCAGAGUACUGUGAAGGAAAGGUGAAAAGGACCCCGGGAGGGGAGUGAAAGAGAGCCUGAAACCCUGUGUCUACAAGCUGUGGGAGCACGUUAUCGGUGCAGCCGCGUACUUUUUGUAGAACGGUCCGGCGAGCUGCGCGGGCAGGCGAGGCUAAGCGCCUAAGGCGCGGAGCCGAAGGGAAACCAAGUCUGAACAGGGCCAAAGGGGCGCAGGGCGCCCCAAGGGAGUCUGCCCGUGCAGGCCCGAAACCGGGUGAUCUACCCAUGCCCAGGCUGAAGCCGCCGUAAAAGGCGAUGGAGGGCCGGACGCACAUCCGUUGAAAAGGGUGGCGAUGAGGUGUGGGUAGGGGAGAAAUUCCAAUCGAACCCGGAGAUAGCUGGUUCUCCCCGAAAUAGCUUUAGGGCUAGCCCUGUGGCAGCCUGGCGGAGGUAGAGCACUGAAUUCCCGCGGGGGCGUCAAAGCCUACCAAAGGAUAUCAAACUCCGAAUGCCGCGCAGGCGAUCCACAGGAGUCAGGCCGCACGAGAUAAGUCGGGCGGCCGAGAGGGAAAGAGCCCAGACCCGCGGCUAAGGCCCCGAAGUGCGCGUUAAGUGGAUAAGGAUGUGGGGCUUCGAAGACAGCUAGGACGUUGGCUCAGAAGCAGCCAUGCAUUGAAAGAGUGCGUAAUAGCUCACUAGCCGAGAGGCCCUGCGCCGAAAAUGUCCGGGGCUGAAACGCGCCGCCGAAGCCCGGGACGGACGGGGAUGCCCGUCCGUGGUAGGGGAGCAUUGCCAGCCCGGCGAAGCCGCACCGGCGAGGAGCGGUGGAGGGCUGGGAAGAGAGAAUGCCGGAAUGAGUAGCGAGAUGGGGGUGGGAAUCCCCCAGGCCGGAUGUCCAAGGUCUCCAGGGUGAAGCUGAUCUGCCCUGGGUGAGUCGGGGCCUAAGGCGAGGCCGGGAGGCGUAGCCGAUGGACGACAGGUAGAGAUUCCUGUACUGCGCAUGGCCAGAACUGCGGGGACGCAUGCGGAGAGCGCGAGCCGGGAGCGAAGAGACCGGUGCAAGCGGGGAGGCCGGGCGGGAGGAAAAUCCCCCGCCGGGAGGCCGAGCCGCGACGCGGACCGAAAGACGAGUAGGGAAGCGCGCCGACCGCGUGCCGAGAAAAGCCGCUAUAGCGCCAUGCGCACCCGUACCGCAGUCCGACACAGGUGGACAGGGAGAGGAUCCCAAGGCCGGCGGGAGAAGCAUCGCCAAGGAACUCGGCAAAAUGGCCCCGUAACUUCGGGAGAAGGGGCGCCUCCGAGGGGAGGCCGCAGAGAAGAGGCCCAAGCAACUGUUUAGCAAAAACACAGGCCUGUGCGAAGCCGCAAGGCGAGGUAUACGGGCUGACGCCUGCCCGGUGCUGGAAGGUCAAGGGGAGAUGUCAGCGGGCCACGCGCCCAGCGAAGCAUCGAGCCCAAGCCCCAGUAAACGGCGGCCGUAACUAUAACGGUCCUAAGGUAGCGAAAUUCCUUGUCGGGUAAGUUCCG